rfam:Francisella tularensis subsp. tularensis SCHT S4 complete genome
CUAACAGUAGUUUACCAAAUAAUUCAGCAACUGAAAC